rnacentral:rRNA from 1 species
UACGUAGGGGGCAAGCGUUGUCCGGAUUUAUUGGGCGUAAAGAGCGUGUAGGCGGCUUUACAGGUCCGUUGUGAAAACUCGAGGCUCAACCUCGAGACGCCGGUGGAAACCGUAAAGCUAGAGUCCGGAAGAGGAGAGUGGAAUUCCUGGUGUAGCGGUGAAAUGCGCAGAUAUCGGGAAGAACACUCGUGGCGAAGGCGGCUCUCUGGGACGGUACUGACGCUGAGACGCGAAAGCGUGGGGAGCGAACAGG